rnacentral:misc_RNA from 1 species
GGUUUUGGCUGAUAGUGUGGGGCUCCCGUGUCGAUUAGUAAAAGGGCAAGAAUACACAGGUUCAGAUGAAGUUGCAAUGAACUAUGUAAAGCUUGAAGAUGGAAGGGAAUAUAUUGUUGAUUUGAUGGCCGACCCUGGCACACUUAUUCCCUCUGAUACAUCUGGAACACAGGGAGACUAUGAGGAAUCCAUCCUCUCCAUCAGUCCAUCAUCCAAAGAUGUUGAUUCUCAUACGGGUUCUUCUAGUAGUGGGGUUGCCUGUUCUUCAGAAGAUCAUUCAGAGUAUGGAACCGAAGAGAGGAAAUCCAGGUUUGGGGAAAUCAGUGCAGGAAAUGAGUCUCCCUCUACAGGUAAUUCAGAAAAGCAGAAAGGAAAUAAUAACUCUGAUGACUUCACAAAGCUUCGUACUGUGAAGGAGCAAGGGCCGGAAACUUCAUCCAGGACUGUGUAUGCAAGAUCUCCUUAUUCACAUACAAGAUCUCCUUCCUGGACUGAAGGCAUUAGUUCCCCAGCUGUACGGCGAAUGAAAGCGAAGGAUGUCUCACUGUACAUGAUUGAUGCUGCUAAAGAAAAUCCUCAGCUAGCUCAAAAACUACAUGAUGUCUUGCUUGAAAGUGGUGUUGUUGCACCCCCAAAUUUGUUCACUGAAGUCUAUUCAGAGCAAUUAGAUUCCUCUCCUGUGGAGGGAAAAUCCAGGCCAG